GACGAACGCUGGCGGCGUGCUUAACACAUGCAAGUCGAACGGAAAGGCACUAGCUUGCUGGUGUUCUCGAGUGGCGAACGGGUGAGUAACACGUGGGUAAUCUGCUCUGCACUCUGGGAUAAGCCUAGGAAACUGGGCCUAAUACUGGAUAUGACACUUCCUCUGAUGGGGUGCGGUGGAAAGUGUUUCGGUGUAGGAUGAGCGCGCGGCCUAUCAGCUUGUUGGUGGGGUGAUGGCCUAGCAAGGCGAAGCCGGGUAGCCCGCCUGGGAGGGUAAUCGGCCACAUUGGGACUGAGGGACGGAGCAGACUCCUACGGGAGGCAGCAGUGGGGAAUCUUGUACAAUGGGCGGACGCCUGAGAAGGAGGCGCCCGGUUUGGGAAGACGGUUUUUGGGUAGAGAACAGCUUUCGGCUGAGACGAAGCGUAAGUGACGGUACCUGAAGAAGAAGCACCGGCUAACUACGUG
rnacentral:rRNA from 1 species